rnacentral:rRNA from 1 species
CCUACGGGUCGCAGCAGUGAGGAAUAUUGGUCAAUGGACGGAAGUCUGAACCAGCCAUGCCGCGUGCAGGAAGACGGCUCUAUGAGUUGUACACUGCUUUUGUACAAGGGUAAACCUGAAUACGUGUAUUCAGCUGAACGUACUGUACGAAUAAGGAUCGGCUAACUCCGUGCCAGCCGCCGCGGUAAUACGGAGGAUCCAAGCGUUCUCCGGAUUUAUUGGGUUUAAAGGGUUCGUAGGCGGAUUGAUAAGUUAGAGGUGAAAUGUCCGAGCUUAACUCGGGCACUGCCUCUAAUACUGUUGAUCUAGAGAGUAGAUGCGGUAGGCGGAAUGUAUGGUGUAGCGGUGAAAUGCUUAGAGAUCAUACAGAACACCGAUUGCGAAGGCAGCUUACCAAUCUAUAUCUGACGUUGAGGCACGAAAGCGUGGGGAGCAAACAGGAUUAGAUACCCUUGUAGUC